rnacentral:rRNA from 1 species
UAGUCCACGCCGUAAACGAUGGUCACUAGUUGUUGGGGCUUUAUGCUUCAGUGAUUAAGAGAAAUUGAUAAGUGACCCACCUGGGGAGUACGAUCGCAAGAUUGAAACUCAAAGGAAUUGACGGGGGCCCGCACAAGCGGUGAAGCAUGUGGUUUAAUUCGAUGAUACGCGAGGAACCUUACCAGGGCUUAAAUGUAAGUUGCAUGAUCUAGAGAUAGGUCUUUCUUCGGACUACUUACAAGGUGCUGCAUGGUUGUCGUCAGCUCGUGCCGUGAGGUGUCAGGUUAAGUCCUAUAACGAGCGCAACCCCUGUUGUUAGUUGCCAUCGAGUCAUGUCGGGAACUCUAACAAGACUGCCAGUGCAAACUGUGAGGGAAGGUGGGGAUGACGUCAAAUCAUCACGGGCCCUUACGUCCUGGGGCUACACACGUGCUAC